rnacentral:rRNA from 1 species
GCGGAUGGGUGAGUAACACGUGGGGAACCUGCCCCAUAGUCUGGGAUACCACUUGGAAACAGGUGCUAAUACCGGAUAAGAAAGCAGAUCGCAUGAUCAGCUUAUAAAAGGCGGCGUAAGCUGUCGCUAUGGGAUGGCCCCGCGGUGCAUUAGCUAGUUGGUAAGGUAACGGCUUACCAAGGCAAUGAUGCAUAGCCGAGUUGAGAGACUGAUCGGCCACAUUGGGACUGAGACACGGCCCAAACUCCUACGGGAGGCAGCAGUAGGGAAUCUUCCACAAUGGACGCAAGUCUGAUGGAGCAACGCCGCGUGAGUGAAGAAGGUUUUCGGAUCGUAAAGCUCUGUUGUUGGUGAAGAAGGAUAGAGGCAGUAACUGGCCUUUAUUUGACGGUAAUCAACCAGAAAGUCACGGCUAACUACGUGCCAGCAGCCGCGGUAAUACGUAGGUGGCAAGCGUUGUCCGGAUUUAUUGGGCGUAAAGCGAGCGCAGGCGGAAGAAUAAGUCUGAUGUGAAAGCCCUCGGCUUAACCGAGGAACUGCAUCGGAAACUGUUUUUCUUGAGUGCAGAAGAGGAGAGUGGAACUCCAUGUGUAGCGGUGGAAUGCGUAGAUAUAUGGAAGAACACCAGUGGCGAAGGCGACUCUCUGGUCUGCAACUGACGCUGAGGCUCGAAAGCAUGGGUAGCGAACAGGAUUAGAUACCCUGGUAGUCCAUGCCGUAAACGAUGAGUGC